rnacentral:tRNA from 1 species
GCUCCGGUAGCUCAAAUGGUGAGAGCACUGGUGUGAAGUACCAGAUAUACAAGUUCAAUCCUUGUCGGGAGCA